AUCCACCCGCCUCGGCCUCCCAAAGUGCUGGGAUUACAGGCGUGAGCCACCGUGACAGGCCUCAAAAGGAGCCUUUUCACGUGGGAGGGCUGUGCUGACUCUCACCACCUUCCUGUUCAACAUCUGUCCUGUUUCCUUGUUUUCCUUCAGAUGGAGUUUUGUCUUAUUACCUGAGAGCCCGUAGGUGUGCCUCCCACAGGGCCCUCCUGCGGACCAGAGCAAGCUCCUCUAGGCCAACCCGGGGCGCCACCAGCACGUGCCCUUCUGGCUGGAACCGGGAGGUCUAGAGCCAGGCCCAGAACAAUCUGUGAUUUCUUGUGUUUUUACUUGACUUGGUGGUUUCUCUUUUGCCAAAAGGUCCUUGCCGAAGUCAAGUAAGGACAUCUGAAGGCUGUUUGUACCAAAUACUUUUCAAAAGCCCAGGCCUGGUCUCCUCACAGCUUCCUAUGGCAGUGCUCUCCCCCCGCCCAGUGCUAUGCGCUGGGCAACUUGGGGUGCCCCCCGUGAGGCCAAGGGAGGACCCUGGGGUCGAGUUUCCUUCGGGGGCAUUGUGUGGAGGGGCAGGCAGCUCGCUCCAACUGCUGGGAGUGGGGGAAUCCCAGCUCUGCCCAUCCCCGCCAAGUUGGGGUUGUGUGUGGAUCUUGGUGUUAACUCUUGCUUCCUUCUUUGCUUCUGCCAUGCUUCCAAGCAGCAGCUACUCCAUCCGCCACUCAAUAAGUAUGCCAGCCAUGAGGUAAUGUAUGCCUGCUCGCUGCAGCUCCAGAGCCGGGUGUCUCUGGUGGGGCUUGGGGCGGCUCCCGCCGGUUACACCUUGCCCUUCCCAUAUCCCUGGAUUAAUUAAGGACGCCAUUCCCUUGGCAACCUCUGAUGGCUAAGGGCUGGUAAAGACCCCCUCUAGGCUGACGAGGAAGAGCUGGUAGGGGGUCAGGCUCUUUACCUGCAGCCUCCAGAGGAGAUCUUUGUGUCAAACUGGGCCGUGUCCUUUCCAAGUCCUGACUCUGGCUGCCUGCAGUGGGUGGAGUGGGGUUCGAGGGGCUCGCACACAGAUCCCGGCACGUGGGGUUCGAGGGGCUCGCACACAGAUCCCGCCACUUGCCCUGGUGAGCUGUCACUCAGGACACUUCACGGUCUCAGCCUUCACGGAAACACCCAGAGCCGUGGUCCCUAUCAGGCACCACCCUGAUUCUCAGGAUUCUGUGCCUGUGCCGUGGGGCACUGCCCUGAUUCUCAGGAGAGCCCUGUUCUCCUUGUGGGGACUCCGGCUGGGUGUCGCAGACAUGGUGGCCUCUAGAGGCCCCGGACCUGGGAGGGGUAUCUGGUUGUGUGGGAGGGACUGAGUGGGAUGGAGCUGGCCUGCUUUCUCCUCUUGUCUCCUUAUCACUCUGCUGUCCCAGAAGUGUCCUUAGUCUUCCCUUCGCUUCUCUGAGAGAUGUGCAUGAAGAACUGCAGACUUUUAGUAAUCUCAGUACAAGAGCCCAGGAUGUCCCUGUAGGGUACAGCAGAGAGGGGCCGACAGCCCCCCAUAACCUUUUCAUAACCUCAGUACAGGAGCCCAGGGUGUCCCUGUGGGGUACAGCAGAGAGGGGCCGACAGCCCCCCAUAACCUUUUCAUAACCUCAGUACAGGAGCCCAGGGUGUCCCUGUAGGGUACAGCAGAGAAGGGCCAACAGCCCCCUAUAACCUUUUCAUAACCUCCGUACAGGAGCCCAGGGUGUCCCUGUAGGGUACAGCAGAGAGGGGCCGACAGCCCCCCAUAACCUUUUCAUAACCUCAGUACAAGAGCCCAGGGUGUCCCUGUAGGGUAUGACAGAGAGGGGCCGACAUCUCCCCAGCUGCACAGUCAAGGGGUUUCCAGUUGCCUUGUGUGACGUCUGGACCUGUCCCUGUGGUUGUUGGGCAUGGCUGACCUCACUUUUGACCUGGGGAGUCUCCGAAAUGACCUGGCUGUCUCACAGUUUUGCCAUGAGAUCUUGGGAUGUUGUUAGGGGCCCUUUGGAGGCUGGCCCUAACCCUGAGGCCCUCCCGAGUUAGGAGAGCAGCACAACCCUUUCCUCUUGACACCAACACUCUUCCCUCUCUCUUUAAAGGAACUCUGCAACCUUCAAGUCGUUUGAGGACCGAGUUGGGACCAUAAAGUCUAAGGUUGUGGGUGACAGAGAGAACGGCAGUGACAGCCUCCCUUCCUCAGCGGGGAGUGGUGACAAGCCCCUGUCGGAUCCCGCACCUUUCUAAGCCUGUGGUUGCUUCACCCGCUGCAGAGCACACGCAACACACCCUCAGCACCACAGCCCGCAGCUCUGUUCAGCGGAGCAGCCAGCCAGGGCGGAUGAGCAGAGCCGGCUUUGAGGACAGUCCUGCCCAUCCACAUGGAGAUGUGGCUGCCGCGUUCGCAUGAAUUUAAAGAACACAGGCUUGUACACAGAUGUUUUACACUCAAGUUUGUAGAUGAAACAGAUCACUGUGCUGUCCUUCUUAGGGGUGCAGGAAGUGGACAAGGCGGAGGAUUUGAAAGAAUAUUGAGCCAAAGCCCAGGCUCCCUUUGGGAAUCAUGUUAGCCCAUCAGAAUGUUGAAGGAUUGAAGGGUUCUAAGCAUAGAAUAAGUGGCAUUUUCUGACUUCUCCCUCCUCCUUCUUCCCUGACUCACAGAGGGAAUGCAGUCACCCAGCAAGUCCUACCUGUUACGCAGUUUUUUAUCUCAAAAUGCCGAACGAGAAAACUGUCCAUUUUCUGAGACCCCCAGAAAGGAAACUGAUCCUCAGCAGCUGCCUAAUUGUUGUGCUAAUCUAGCUUUAACGGAAGCAAAUUCAUUAUUUUUUAAAUGCAGUGGACUUUUCAAAAAGUUUAAAUUAGGCAAAGCAGCUUUAGCCUCACAGAAUAUUAUUUCUUUGGACUCAAGCUGAAAUACAAGCCUUACAUUGCCUUAUGCUUUAUUUCUUUCUAAUUUUUAUAUGUAUAUAGAUGAGGGUUCCUUAAUGGUUGUGAGCCUUGUGUGGAAUUUUACACCUGGCCUGCAUGGCAGCCUCUUCCAGUUGGGGUGUUUUAUUUCACACACACUCCAUCCCAGUGUACAAAACCUGCUUCUCUUCUCAACCAUGGCAGCUCCCACUGGCUCCCCUGCCCUGCCCUAAAGGGCUCUUGAGCCUCUGGGAAUGGGAGGGGCCAAGAGAAGGAAAACCCUGUCUUUAGCACCCUUUAAAAGAGCUGUGCCCCCCUUCUCAGUGCUGCCUUUGCAUGGGCCUGGCCCGGCUCGCAUUCGUCAGUGACUCCAACCCUCCUGCUUGCUGCACUUGGGAUACCACCCCACAGGUCAGGUGGAGGGUGGGGCGUGGGCAUCAGCCAGGAUUGCUGUUGCCUUUUUCUCAGGAGCUACAAAGAUCUCUUCCUGUUACUAAAUGGUCACACCCCAGCAGCCUCUCUCCCACACCAGGGCCCUGCAUGUCAGAUGGCAUGGUCUGCAGGGGGAGCUCUGUGCCUUAGUGGCCAUUGGCAGGACACUGAGGGCCUGCCUGUGGUGUGCCCAGCUCUGCCACUCCCAGGAGGGGAAGGGCUGCUCAGCUCAAGGUGUCCUGUUUGGUAGAGCAAGUGUCCUCUGACAGCCGUGUCCCCGGACAGUUCAGACACCCUUGGGGAUGGCACUCCACACACGACAGAUAUGCAGGGGCCAGGGAACCCCAGCGCUCGGUGCCCUUUGUCCAGGGUUAAAAUCGGCCUGUGGGGUGUGGUGAGAAGGCAGGUUGUGCGGGUGUUAACUGAUGUAUUUUUUCCUGAAAGUUAUUAUAACAGUGGGUAAUUUGUCAAUAAAGCAUUCCUUUGGGGGAAAGUCCACC
rnacentral:sRNA from 1 species